rnacentral:sRNA from 1 species
GCCGGGCGUGGUGGUGCAUACCUGUAAUCCCAGCAGCUUAGGAAGCUGAGGUAGGAUGAUCCUGAGUUCAAAGUCAGCCUCAGCAAAAGGCGAGGUGCUAAUAAGCAAUUCAGUGAGACCCUGUCUCUA